AAUUCAGGUACAUUUUUCCGCCUCAUGCGCGUUGUGCGGCGUUUGAAACAACUGGGAACUCAAAAUCCGACUAUCCGACCUGAAGAUCACUUACGUCAUGAUUUGACAUCGUUUUUUCUGAGUUCCCAGUUGUCUUGAAAGCACCAUUGAUGCAGGAAAAUGGCCAGGGAAAAGUUUGACGAACAACCUAACCUAAACCAAAAGAACAUCACAACACUCACCCUUUUAAAGAAUGGCCAUUAUCUCCAGCAGUAGGUAUAUCCCAAGGAAGCAACCCUGACUGCCUGCCUGGAGAGAAGGGGAGGAGUUUCACGGCACUUUGUGCACUUUCCACCGGCAAUCAUGCAGGUUGAUAGCCUACUGCUUAUAGGCGACACAGCCUACGGACACCAGCAAUGUGGCGACAGUUAGCCCUACAACACUGCUUGAUGAUUAUGAAGAACUGAAGUCAGUUGUACAACAAUGUGAUGUAAGACUCCUGUUACCCAAACACCAUCUGCCCAAUCCUGUUAUAUAAAGAAAGCAAUGGAAUACAAUUAAAGCAUUUUUUGUUGAGGGCAA